GGAUCCGUGGUGCAAUGGUAGCGUGUCUGAUUCUAGAUCAUAAGGUUGCAUGUUCGAUUCACAUCGGGUCCA
rnacentral:tRNA from 1 species